AGCAGCCGCGGUAAUUCCAGCUCCAAUAGCGUAUAUUAAAGUUGUUGCAGUUAAAAAGCUCGUAGUUGAAUUUCGGGAUCAGUACGCUGGUCGUGCCCUUGGUAUGUACUGGUGUUACUGGUUCCUACCUUCUGACGAACCGUCAUGUCAUUAAUUUGGUGUGGCGGGGAAUCAGGACUGUUACUUUGAAAAAUUAGAGUGUUUAAAGCAGGCUCGCGCUUGAAUACAUUAGCAUGGAAUAAUGAAAUAGGACGUUCGAUCCUAUUUUGUUGGUUUCUAGGAUUGACGUAAUGAUUAAUAGGGAUAGUUGGGGGCAUUAGUAUUCAAUUGUCAGAGGUGAAAUUCUUGGAUUUAUUGAAGACUAACUACUGCGAAAGCAUUUGCCAAGGAUGUUUUCAUUAAUCAAGAACGAAAGUUAGGGGAUCGAAGACGAUCAGAUACCGUCGUAGU
rnacentral:rRNA from 1 species